rnacentral:lncRNA from 1 species
UUUAUAUAUUUUCAUGUGGUGCUGAGCAUUGAACCCAGUGCCUCAUACUUACGAGGCAAGUGCUCUGCCACUGAGCCACAAUCCCAGCCCAAACUGCCUUUUUCGUAUUGCAUGGUUUAGACUUGUCUUUAUUUUUGUUAUAUACAGGGUAUGGAGCAGAUUCACCUUUCUUAUGGCUUUGAUGCUCUAUCACCAAGAAUAUCUGGAGAUAUUUAGACUAGACUCUGGUUCACCUUCAUCUAGUAUGGAGGACGUGAUGAAGGCCCAGAACAGGACAGUGACUGUCCAGGGUAGCAAGAAACACCAAUGAGACAGGGCUCAAGCCCAGGCCCCAGUAGUCUCUGAGCUCCAGAAUAUUCCCAUGGCCUGGGAUGCUAACCCUGGCAUCUUCACUCUGGGCUCCUAAUCAUCUGUCUCCUGUUGCUCCUCAGACAACCACCGUCACUUAAGAAUCUUCACCAACAGGUACCAUUUGUCAAACCCCUUCUGAGGCCUAGGCACGUCCCACAUUGUUGGACAGCAGAGAACAAGAGGAGAAGACUGGCAGCACUAAGACCUCUUAGCCUACAGCUUAUCUGCACUGUGGGAUGGGUGAGAGCAGGGCUGCAGCCACUCAGUCUGAGUGGGAUAAAUGAUGCUGUGACAGUCCUGCUAUAUGCUGUGAGGCCCUGAGAUCUGGGGAUAAACAAGUCUUGGGGGGCUUCCCAGAGAAGGCGAGACUGGUUCUGAGAGUCUUGAUGGCUGGAAAGAAUCUGGAGAGGAAGCAGGGAGGUACCAGGGAGGAUGGGAAGAACCCCUCAGGCCAUGAAUUCAGGCCCACCCCCAAAUUCUGUGCCUGGCUGGCCUGGGCUGAAGCAAAUCCAGAACUAUUUCUGGCCUGGCUCUGACCUUCUACCCUUUCCAGGCCACCUGCUGUGGCAAUGUCCUCUUCUAGUCACUCUUGGGAGCAGAUGAGAUAAAUUAUCUAAAGGUUUGGAAAGAGGCACAAAUAAACAGACACCCUGAAACCUGGAGCCACCCACACCUGAGUCCCCAGCCCCAGCGUACCCUGCUUCCAUGUGGCCCCCCGAAGACCCCAGGUCACUCCUCAGCCCUUACUCAUUCUGUGGCCACAGCAACUCACUUCUCCCUCCAAGGUCUCAGAACUUAAGUCUACUUCCCUCAUCGUGUGAAGAAGGAACUGUGCUAUUGACCUACGAAACCAUGGGGGUGAAGAAAAAGGAACCAGAGUCUAGGGCCUGCUCUGGUCUGACACCAGCUCAGGCUGAGGCCUGUUGCUCUGCCCAGGGGGCAGAGGGGAGAGACCUGGCUCUGCCUGGCAUAGCCCUGAAUCUGUGUACAAGUUGGUGAGAGAGAGUGGGGAUAUAGCUCAGUUGAUAGAGUGCUUGCCUUGCAUACACAAAGUCCUGGGUUCAAUCCAUAGGACCAAAAAAAAAAAAAAAAAACAAAAAAAUAAAUAAACAACUGUGUGAGAGAAAGCCUUGGUCCUCAUGGAGAACUGUGGUUUCAGCUGGCCCUGGAGGCUGGGGAGGUCGUUAGCAAGUAGUCUGGUAAAAACAAGGGGCUUUCUGGUUUGAGAAAAGACCGGGGAUGGAAACCUGGGUGUGUGGAAGAUGGAGGGUGAGGUUUGUGUGGGACCAGAAGACUGUAUGUUCUUGUGUCUGUCCCACUCCAAGAUCAGAACAUCUUGGACCUGGUGAUAAGGGAAUUGUCCCUCUCCUGUGUAAUGAAAAGAUAGCACACACAAUAACCUCUCUAGCUCCAUCAGAAGACUUAACAAGGGUGCCCCCAGGACUUGAUGGGGAGGGGUCAGGCCAUUUCAGGUGUGGGGGUGAGGACAGCCCAAACCAAGAAGAAGAGCGAGGCAUGGUGACCAGUGACUAUGGAGGCUAAAGCAGGAGGACUACCUUAUUAAUGUUGCAAGACCCUAUCAAAAAACAAGAGCCUGAAGCAGUGGCAAAAAAUAAGAGCCUGGA